rnacentral:rRNA from 1 species
AGCGAACGCUGGCGGUAGGCCUAACACAUGCAAGUCGAACGGCAGCACAGUAAUAGCUUGCUCUUACGGGUGGCGAGAGGCGUACGGGUGACGAAUACAUCGUACUCUACUUUUUCGGGGGGGAUAACGUAGGGAAACUUACGCUAAUACCGCAUACGACCUACGGGUGAAAGCAGGGGAUCUUCGGACCUUGCGCGAUUGAAUGAGCCGCUGUCGGACUAGCUAGUUGGCGGGGUAAAGGCCCACCAAGGCGACGAUCCGUAGCUGGUCUGAGAGGCUGAUCAGCCACACUGGAACUGAGACACGGUCCAGACGCCUACGGUAGGCAGCGGGGGGGAAGAUUGGACAAUGGGCGCAAGGCUGAUCCAGCCAUACCGCGUGGGUGAAUAAGGCCUGCGGGUUGUAGAGCCCUUUUGUUGGGAAAGAAAAGCAGCAGGUUAAUACCCCGCUGUUCUGACGGUACCCAAAGAAUAAGCGCCGGCUAACUUCGUG